UACGUAGGGGGCUAGCGUUGUCCGGAUUUAUUGGGCGUAAAGAGCGUGUAGGCGGCCAGGUAGGUGGGUUGUGAAAUCUUUCGGCCCAACCGGAAAAGUGCCGCCGAUACUGGGAGUCUCGAGGGAGGUAGGGGUCGAUGGAACUUCCGGUGGAGCGGUGAAAUGCGUAGAUAUCGGAAGGAACGCCGGUGGCGAAAGCGAUCGACUGGACCUCUUCUGACGCUGAGGCGCGAAAGCCAGGGGAGCAAACGGG
rnacentral:rRNA from 1 species